GAGUAGACCUGCCAUUUAACUCGACCAGAUACUGCGUCUUCCUGCUCAGUUCUUCCUAAGAUCUUGUCGUCACAGGUAAGAUCUUCAAAACUCUCUUCGACUUCAAUUUGGUUAUUCUGAUGCUUACCCUUGGUCAUGCAGCUGCAUUUUUGGGAAGGGUUCACCUGAUCUAAUGAUUUGCUGUGAGCCACCAUAUGUCUUAGGAGCUCACCGUCAGGGUCUGUAAUCAACUCAUUAUACUUUCCUGACUGAACAAUUCUACCAUCUUUCAUUACCUAAGCAUAUC
rnacentral:lncRNA from 1 species